rnacentral:lncRNA from 1 species
CCGCGCCUCCUGCCGGCAACGUGACCACUUCUCGCGGCAAUGCGCCAUGUGUGGCCCAUGUUCCGGCGUCGCCCUCCGCGGCCUCAGCACACAGGCCGUUCAACUCCGCCACCUGACGCCGUUCACCUCCGCCACCUGACGCCGUUCACCACCACCAGUCCCCGUCCAAGGCUGCCCCAAAGACCCCGUGCGUUAACACCCCUGUCAACCCCGAAUUUUGUUUCUCUCAGCUUCAAAAAGAGGUUCAGUUCAAAACUUGCAAUGUCUCCAGGAAUGUUACUACUGAAUUUUUUCUGUUUGAGUUCAUUUUGAAUCCAUGUGCCAUUUUGCUAUCUUUUAAAGGUGUUUGUUGUAAUGCAGAAAACAUUUUGUAAUACCAAAAAACAAACGCUAGCAAAAAGUUCAUGCUUAGAAAGUUUGUACGUUCAUACAUAGAAACUUAAUAAGUUCAGGAAAAAAAUUGAAAACAAAAAGAUGUUGACUGUACAUUGCUACCAAUUUAGUUAUCCAUACCGAAGCCUUGAUCUCUUAUUUUUUUUAUCAAAAUAGGGGGCUUCCACACCAAAUGGAUCUCUGCUUCCGGCCGCGGUGGGAACACCAGGUAUGCUACUCGUGUUUUUCCAUGCUGGACACCAAGCAGCGCACAUGAGAAAGAUUGCUCUGCUUUUGUAGUUACUGUGCUAGUUUGUUGGGCAAAAUGAAAAUUACAGUUGAAGGAAGAUUGAGGCUUAAAGUUCAGAGACGUUUUGAAUAAAAGUUUUGAUAGUGUAGUAGCUGAAAAACAUAGGGCAGGUCUUGUAGUUUUGAACUUUUGGAUGUGUAUGUCAAUUUUGAGUCAAGUAGCUUUUCAGAUCAAAAAUGAUGUACCGUUAGUCGCUAUAUUGCUCAGUUCAUGUGCAACCAUUGGAGGAGUUCAAAAAAUCAGAACUCGUCCAUUCCCAUAAAAUUCUGUAAGUUUCAUGUGUGUGCUGCUACAAAUCUGAAAUAUUUUUCCAAUCAUACUAGUACUGAUGCAAUCACCUGAAAAAGUUGAAGAAAAAUUAUGUAAGUUGUAGACUAUAAGUUGACAUGCACACACGGCCAUUCUGUAAGUUGUAGACUAUAAGUUGACAUACACAUACAAGAGCAAUUGGUCUGCCUGCUGCAUACGGUGUUGGUCCACGUACACACUCCUCGAAUCUCUCUUCUUUGGCUCCCAGCGGUGAAGAUCUCCAUGCCUCCCGUUUGAAUUUUCAGUUAAUUUUUAAUUGAACUUGUACUGCUAUUGAUUCAGACCUGAGGGAAGAAGGCAGAACCUCUCUCUUGUUGGCAUUAAUUUUUCUCUCUCAUCUCCAUCUUCCUUUGUCAAUCGAAAAAAUUAGCGGCUAGCGCAUAAAUUGUGUAUUUGUUAGAUUGCUCUGCGUGCAAAGUGUAGAGAUUCUAAAAAUUAAAAAAGAAAACGUACAACGAUACAGAGAUUCUGUUGUUCUCUGGUUAGUAGUUCACCUUUGCUAAGUAUAGCAAAUUCUCUGGUUAUUUCUAGCAUAGCAAAAAAUGUCAUUGUGUUAUGCAUAUAAAAGCUUUAUAAAAAUGCGCAAACUGUUGUGUUUAUUGGUAACUCACGGCUGUGUGUAGCUCUUGUAUGUCUUCGGAAUACUUAUGCAUACUGUUGUUUGUACAUAUCUUCAGUACAAGUUUGGAAGGCUAGGAAGUUCUACCACCGACAUACACCAAGUUCAGAGACGUUGCACGGAGUGAGCCGCCGCCGCCGUAAAAAAUGGUUUAUUAGCAUAUUGUUUUUUGGUACUUAUGCAUACGGUUGUAGAAGUGAAAUUUGUUGGGUGCAUGUGCAGAAAAAUCGUCAGUCCAGUUUUCAAAAAUUCUGGAAGUUUGUUUGAUUCUAUAAAAUUCUGGAAGCUUCUUGUGUGUGCUGCUACAAAUCUGAACUAUUUGUCUAGACAUUCUAGUACUGAUACAAUCGCCUAAAAUAAGUUCAAGAAAAAAUCAGUAAGUUUGGUGCGUGUGCUGCUACAAAUCUAAAGUUCUUCUCGAGUCAUUCUAGUACUGACGUCUCUUUUAGUCUGUAGCGGAGGGGAUAAUUUUAUGCUCAUUCUUUCAUAGUAUGAAGCUCAUUUAUAGUUUCUUUUCUCAUUCUUUUAGUUAAGAAAAUGUUUAUUGACCUUGAAGCAUAAACCUCUCGGCAAUGUAACAUUCUGCUGAUAUUUUAAUAAUCGGUAAGCUGUUGUAGUGGGACAAGGUCAUCAUCUUGAGGAGGUCAGUGAGGUCAGUGAUACCAUGCAUGCUGAAACAAUGGCCUUGCACCAGGCUGUAUCUAUAACAUGGGCUCUGGGAUGCAGGCUGGUGCUGCUCUGGGUAGUAAUACAUGUACUGAGUGAUACACAAGUUUGAUUUUCACGGAAAUUGAACUCCAGGAUAUGAAGUUUGAUGGAUGUGGAGGUUCUUUUGACCUUGAACCCUAUAGGAGUUCAACUUUUGAUUAAGUUUUAGUUCAUCUUUAGCUUAGUUCAUCAACUUUAAUUUUCAGAAAUAUCGAGGAUGUACUGUAUUACUUUUAAAGGGGAGUUCAUGUUUGGCUGGAUUUGGCAGUUCAUUUCCUAUUUCUUUAUAGGUUCAUACACCAGUAAGGUUUGGUGGUACAAUUUUUAAAACUGUAGCUGUUCGGCAAAAAGGUUCACUACCCCAAUUAGGGGAUUUUCAAUCAGUAAUGAGGCUGUUGUGGAGAAGCAAAAUAUUCAGUGUUCAUGAUGUCCAAAUUCCAGUGAUAUGCCAUUAUAUAUUAUUGGCAUUGAUCAAGUCAUUUGCUGCAUUUUUUCCAUGUCUCAGUGUAUAAGAGCUGCUAGUCAGUAGACUAUGAGUUGUAGUCUGUAAUGGCUGGCUGUUCUACACAGUGCACACACAUGACCUAGGUGCAACCUAUUUAAUUGAUUGAUGUUUUCAUUUUUUUGAACAGGAAGAUGGGUCAAAAAAAGGAGCAUGAUCGGUUGCUCCUAUAGCGUGUAUCUAGACUAGUAGCUCUGCCAAUGUUUGGUACAGGAAGUACAUGUAUUCAUGUGGGUGCUUGAAAAGUUCUGUACAAGAAUAGGUUGAUGAUUUUUGUGCUAUGGAUAAUAUGAUUUAUGUACAUGUAUUAUAUGUGUGGAAACAAUUUCUGUUAGAUGAUGAAAGGAAAAAAUGGUUUGAAUUAAAAAUAUUGAUUAGUAUGAGUUAAAAAUGGUGGUUCGGAAUAAAAGAAAUGGCAGAAAUUCAAAUUGUAAAAGUUCAAGCAAAAAAAGAAACCCCAUGAAAAUUCAAAUGGUAAAAGUACAAGUCGUAAAAUGAGAG